rnacentral:rRNA from 1 species
UACGUAGGGUGCGAGCGUUAAUCGGAAUUACUGGGCGUAAAGCGUGCGCAGGCGGUUAUGUAAGACAGAUGUGAAAUCCCCCGGGCUCAACCUGGGAACUGCAUUUGUGACUGCAUAGCUAGAGUACGGUAGAGGGGGAUGGAAUUCCGCGUGUAGCAGUGAAAUGCGUAGAUAUGCGGAGGAACACCGAUGGCGAAGGCAAUCCCCUGGACCUGUACUGACGCUCCAUGCACGAAAAGCGUGGGGGAGCAAACAGGAUUACGAAACCCGG